AUGUCCUGUUCCAGGAAUGCUCUUCCCCACACCCAUGAGGUUGGGCUCUGGUUCCUGGCAGCAAACGGAAUUUUUCUUCCUCUGUUUCCUUCCUUGUCUCUGCCAGGCCUGCACAGAGGUCUGGCAGGUGCCCUUUAUGGAAGCUGUUUGGACUUGGAUUUGCUUCCCCAGAGAGGAGUUGGUUGUGCCCAACAUUCCUGCGAGUUCUGGAGUUGCAGUCUAUUGGAAGAUCUAGACUUGAAUUGCUGUCGUCUUUGUGGUGUUCACUGUGCAGCAGGACCUGGAAAGUUGGCAUUUUCUGCAAAUUUAAAGUAUUCCUCAGUCCUGGCAUUGCUGUGAGGUGUCAUGAACAUUGUCAGCAAUAAAAUUUUGUUCUGGAUGCCUUUUGCACUUACUGUGCUCCUUUCCAUCUUCUUUCCAGGCAGUCAUUACACCUUCUUUCUUUCUUCAUUUUUUUCAGAGUUUUGUUUAGCAAGGUAUGACAUUCUGCAAACAAAUCAAACCUGGGGUAAUCUAAAGACUUCAGAACUGGCCCUGCCAUGAGUGGAGUUUUAGAUGGGGGAAUUAUCUCAAUUAAAAGGUCUUCACAUGGUCUCCUGUGCUGUGCUGUGGUCCUGCUGUGUGAGCUGUGUGUCUGCCAUUCACCUUGGCUGGCUGGAGCUGAAUUUGGCUGUUUGUGCCUGUUUAAGAAGUUAAUCUUUCUGAAAGGCUGAAAGCUGCUUGGCGUGGUGUGGUUGCCUCAGCUACAGGAACAUAAACCAGUAACACUGGAUAAAACAGGGGGAUAAACAUUUGCAACUCUUGAUUUGCGUGAGGAAUUACAAGAACCUGGGAUACAUUUAGUGACUUGGAACAAUUUUUAUUUGAGUGCUGGCUCUGUCAUGACCUCUGCACAUUUGCAUAAGGAAACGAAGUACUCAAGCCUUGCAAUGCAAUAAGGAAAAUCUGUUAAGAUUGUAGUCCCUUUACAUCAGCUGACCUUGGUCUAACUAACAAACCAAUUUAGCUUAAUCCUUGCUUUUAAUUAAACAUCAGAUACUUGAAGGCAUAAGUUACUGGCAAUUAAUCAAAGCAUCUAGGAAGCCUGACUGUUGUUGUCUAUACUUCACAGGUUGAAAGCUUGUGCAUAGGUUGAUAUUUUAAAUUAAAUGUGUGAAGAUGAAAGAAAAAGAGAUGAACAUAAGA
rnacentral:lncRNA from 1 species